rnacentral:rRNA from 1 species
CCAGACUCCUACGGGAGGCAGCAGUGAGGAAUAUUGGUCAAUGGGCAAGAGCCUGAACCAGCCAAGUCGCGUGAGGGAGUACUGCCCUAUGGGUUGUAAACCUCUUUUGUCGGGGAGCAAAAGCCGGACGUGUCCGGCUGUGAGGGUACCCGAAGAAAAAGCAUCGGCUAACUCCGUGCCAGCAGCCGCGGUAAUACGGAGGAUGCGAGCGUUAUCCGGAUUUAUUGGGUUUAAAGGGUGCGCAGGCGGACUUUUAAGUCAGCGGUCAAAUCGUGGGGCUCAACCCCAUCCAGCCGUUGAAACUGGGCAUCUAGAGUGGGCGAGAAGUGCGCGGAAUGCGUGGUGUAGCGGUGAAAUGCAUAGAUAUCACGCAGAACUCCGAUUGCGAAGGCAGCGCACCGGCGCCCUACUGACGCUCAGGCACGAAAGCGUGGGUAUCGAACAGGAUUAGAUACCCGUGUA